AUUGAACGCUGGCGGAAUGCUUUACACAUGCAAGUCGAGCGGCAGCACGGGGGCAACCCUGGUGGCGAGCGGCGGACGGGUGAGUAAUACAUCGGAACAUGCCCAGUCGUGGGGGAUAACACUUCGAAAGAAGUGCUAAUACCGCAUACGUCCUGAGGGAGAAAGCGGGGGAUCUUCGGACCUCGCGCGAUUGGAGUGGCCGAUGUCAGGUUAGCUAGUGGGUGGGGUAAAGGCCUACCAAGGCAACGAUCUGUAGCUGGUCUGAGAGGAUGAUCAGCCACACUGGGACUGAGACACGGCCCAGACUCCUACGGGAGGCAGCAGUGGGGAAUUUUGGACAAUGGGGGCAACCCUGAUCCAGCCAUUCCGCGUGAGUGAAGGAGGCCUUCGGGUUGUAAAGCUCUUUCGGCAGGAACGAAACGGCGAGCUCUAACAUAGCUUGCUAAUGACGGUACCUGAAGAAGAAGCACCGGCUAACUACGUGCCAGCCGCCGCAGUAAGAC
rnacentral:rRNA from 1 species